rnacentral:rRNA from 1 species
CCUACGGGUGGCAGCAGUGAGGAAUAUUGGUCAAUGGGCGCGAGCCUGAACCAGCCAAGUAGCGUGAAGGAUGACGGCCCUACGGGGUGUAAACUUCUGUUAUAAAGGAAUAAAGUGAGGCACGUGUGCCUUUUUGUAUGUACCUUAUGAAUAAGGAUCGGCUAACUCCGUGCCAGCAGCCGCGGUAAUACGGAGGAUCCGAGCUUUAUCCGGAUUUAUUGGGUUUAAAGGGUGCGUAGAUGGGUUGUUAAGUCAGUUGUGAAAGUUUGCGGCUCAACCGUAAAAUUGCAAUUGAUACUGGCAGUCUUGAGUACAGUUGCGGUAGGCGGAAUUCGUGGUGUAGCGGUGACAUGCUUAGAUAUCACG